rnacentral:rRNA from 1 species
GAAUUUUGGUCAAUGGGCGAAAGCCUGAUCCAGCAAUGCCGCGUGCAGGAUGAAGGCCUUCUGGUUGUAAACUGCUUUUGUACGGAACGAAAAGCUUUUGGUUAAUACCCUGGAGUCAUGACGGUACCGUAAGAACAAGUACCCGCUAACUACGUGCCAGUCGCCGCGGUAAUACGUAGGGUGCAAGCGUUCAUCGGAAUUACUGGGCGUAAAGCGGGCGCAGGCGGUUUUGUAAGACAGAAGUGAAAUCCCCGGGCUCAACCUGGGAACUGCCUUUGUGACUGCAAGGCUAGAGUACGGCAGAGGGGGGUGGAAUUCCGCGUGUAGCAGUGAAAUGCGUAGAUAUGCGGAGGAACACCGAUGGCGAAGGCAACCCCCUGGGCCUGUACUGACGCUCAUGCACGAAAGCGUGGGGAGCAAACA